AUGGUUAGAAAUGUCUUCCACAAAAAAGGGUUAGAAAUGCUAAUUAAAAGGCUUAAUGAACAAAUGAGAUUUAGUAAGGGCAUCGGACACAUCGUCCGGUCUUCGUCCUCCGAGCUCUCCACAUUGACCCUGUCAGUGAUCACCUGCUCGGGUUCGUUGUCGGCCGCCUUCUCCAUUGUCCGGUCUCCUUCCUCUGAGAUCGCCGCUCGGAGGCAGACUCACCUCCGAGUUCUCUGUGCUAGGCCAGCCAGUUUUGAACGAUGCCCGCGAUCUCGUGCCUUCAUGGCACUUUAUGAAGACUCAAAUAAGCUCCCAUCGUUUGCAAGUACAUCAAUGCGAUCUCGUGCCUUAAUGGCACUUUAUGAAGACUCAAAUAAGCUUACAUCGUUUGCAAGUACGUCAAUGAUAAAAUCUGGCGAGUCGCUGUGCCAAAUCACGGACAGGUCUCCUCCCGCCUUGGAUGCAAGCACAUGUGCCACCUAUUACUCUUAG
rnacentral:rRNA from 1 species